rnacentral:rRNA from 1 species
UACGUAGGGGGCGAGCGUUGUCCGGAAUGAUUGGGCGUAAAGGGCGCGUAGGCGGCUUUGCAAGUCAGUAGUGGAAGUCCAUUUUUCAAGGAUGGAAGUGCUACAGAAACUGCGGAGCUUGAGUGCAGGAGAGGUUAUCGGAAUUCCCGGUGUAGCGGUGAAAUGCGUAGAGAUCGUGAGGAACACCAGUGGCGAAGGCGGGUAACUGGACUGCAACUGACGCUGAGGCGCGAAAGUGUGGGGAGCAAACAGGAUUAGAUACCCGUGUA